AACGAACGCUGGCGGCAGGCUUAACACAUGCAAGUCGAACGCCCCGCAAGGGGAGUGGCAGACGGGUGAGUAACGCGUGGGAAUCUACCCAGAUCUACGGAACAACAGUUGGAAACGACUGCUAAUACCGUAUACGCCCUACGGGGGAAAGAUUUAUCGGAUUUGGAUGAGCCCGCGUUGGAUUAGCUAGUUGGUGGGGUAAUGGCCUACCAAGGCGACGAUCCAUAGCUGGGCUGAGAGGAUGAUCAGCCACGCUGGGACUGGGACACGGCCCAGACUCCUACGGGAGGCAGCAGUGGGGAAUAUUGGACAAUGGGCGCAAGCCUGAUCCAGCCAUGCCGCGUGAGUGAUGAAGGCCUUAGGGUUGUAAAGCUCUUUCACCGAUGAAGAUAAUGACGGUAGUCGGAGAAGAAGCCCCGGCUAACUUCGUGCCAGCCGCCGCCGUAACAC
rnacentral:rRNA from 1 species